GCCUUUGUAGUGCAGUGGUAAGCACGCUUAACUUGUAAUCGAGACGUCCGUGGUUCGAAUCCCGGCAAGGGCA
rnacentral:tRNA from 1 species